rnacentral:rRNA from 1 species
CCUACGGGUGGCAGCAGUGAGGAAUAUUGGUCAAUGGGCGGAAGCCUGAACCAGCCAAGUCGCGUGAGGGAUUAAGGCCCUGCGGGUCGUAAACCUCUUUUGCCGGGGAGCAGUGGUCCGGACGCGUCCGGACCGGGAGAGUACCCGGAGAAAAAGCAUCGGCUAACUCCGUGCCAGCAGCCGCGGUAAUACGGAGGAUGCGAGCGUUAUCCGGAUUUACUGGGUGUAAAGGGCGUGUAGGCGGGACUGCAAGUCAGAUGUGAAAAUUAUGGGCUCAACCCAUAACCUGCAUUUGAAACUGUAGUUCUUGAGUGAUGGAGAGGCAGGCGGAAUUCCGUGUGUAGCGGUGAAAUGCGUAGAUAUACGGAGGAACACCAGUGGCGAAGGCGGCCUGCUGGACAUUAACUGACGCUGAGGCGCGAAAGCGUGGGGAGCAAACAGGAUUAGAUACCCCAGUAGUC